UAUUAGAUUGGUGCAAAAGUAAUUGCAGUUUUUGCAAUUAUAUUUAAUGGCAAAACCCGCAAUUACUUUUGCACCAGCCUAA
rnacentral:miRNA from 10 species